CUCAUAUUUAAGCAAGGAAGCAGGAAGUGGUUCCUUUCCCUUUUGCUCUUCUUCCUGCUCUCUGCUGUGAGCCAUCAUGUGAUCCUGGGGAUGAAGAAGCCAGCGGAAGGUGUCUGAUAAGGACUUGACAUGGAUUACUUCUAUCCUCUCAUUCCACCUUGAGAAGCAGAAAUCAUCACCAGAAUGUACUGAACAAACUAAGCCACAUAUAUACUCAAGAGCUUGUCAAGUUCAGAGAGAAACCCCAGGAGAAAGGAAGGACAAGAUUCACUGAAAAUAGUAGGUAAACCUGUGGGACAAUUUCCUGAAUAGUGAUUGAUAUGGAGUUCCAAGCCACUAUGUGUGGAUGCCACCCUUGGGCGAGAGAUUCUGGGGUGUACAGGAAAGAAAAUGGAACAAACCAGAAGGAGCAAGUCAGUAAGCAGCACUCCUCCAUGGUCUCAGCUUCAGUUCCUUUCUUCAGCUUCCUGCCCUGCUUGAGUUCCUGUCUUGACUCAUCUCAUUAAGGUCUGGAAGGAAAAAUAAACUCGUUUCUUCAAAAGUUCCUUUUGUCGUGAUGCUCUAUCACAGUAAGAAAAAAUAAAUUAAGAUACUGACAAUAGGCAUACUAUUCUUGGAAAUCAGAUAUUUGACUAAGAUAAUAAAUUGGGGACUGGAGAGACGCUUGGCAGUUAAGAUUUCAUACUGUUCUCUCAGAAAAACACAUGGAUUGAUUACUAGUACCCACAGUGGCCAGAUCAAUCCAUCUCCAAGGGAUGAAAUGUCUCCAGCUUUGAAGGCAUGGAUGUUCAUGUGUGCAUACCCCCACACAGAC
rnacentral:lncRNA from 1 species